GUGGCUUCAUUUAUCGUGUUAAGUUUAUAAAAGAAAUCCCAGCUCGGGGGGUACGGGCGGCAGGCUGAAGCCAUAAAUAGAAUUAGACGGGUGACCCGCCCAAGCGCUGGGAGCAUGUGGGUUUUAUUUUGAAGCAACGCGAAGAACCUUACCAAGUCUUGACAUCCUUCUGAAAACACUAGAGAUAGGGCUUCUCCUUCGGGAGCAGAGUGACAGGUGGUGCAUGGUUGUCGUCAGCUCGUGUCGUGAGAUGUUGGGUUAAGUCCCGCAACGAGCGCAACCCUUGAUCUUAGUUGCCAUCAUUAAGUUGGGCACUCUAAGGUGACUGCCGGUGACAAACCGGAGGAAGGUGGGGAUGACGUCAAAUCAUCAUCGCCCCUUAUGAGCCUGGGCUACACACGUGCUACAAUGGACGGUACAAAGAGCUGCAAGACCGCGAGGUGGAGCUAAUCUCAUAAAACCGUUCUCAGUUCGGAUUGUAGGCUGCAACUCGCCUACAUGAAGCUGGAAUCGCUAGUAAUCGCGGAUCAGCAUGCCGCGGUGAAUACGUUCCCGGGCCUUGUACACACCGCCCGUCACACCACGAGAGUUUGUAACACCCGAAGUCGGUGGGGUAACCUUUAUGGAGCCAGCCGCCUAUGAUGUUCC
rnacentral:rRNA from 1 species